rnacentral:rRNA from 1 species
AUUGAACGCUGGCGGCAGGCCUAACACAUGCAAGUCGAGCGGAGCGGCGGAAGGGUGAGUAAUGACUAGGAAUCUGACUGGGAGUGGGGGAUAACGGCAGGAAACGGGCGCUAAUAACGGAUACAAUCAGCGGAGACUAGGUUGGAUUAGCUAGGUGGUGGGUUAAAGGCCUAACAAGGCGACGAUCAGUAAAUGGGCUGCGAGGAUGAUCAGUCAAACUGGAACGGAGACACGGUCCAGCCUCCUACGGGAGGCAGCAGUGGGGAAUAUUGGACAAUGGGCGAAAGACUGCUCCAGCCAUGCCGCGUGUGUGAAGAAGGUCUUCGGAUUGGAAAGCACUUUAAGUUGGGAGGCGUUACCAACAGAAUAAGCACCGGCUAACGUCGUGCCAGCAGCCGCGGUAAUUC